rnacentral:rRNA from 1 species
UACAUAGGGUGCAAGCGUUAAUCGGAAUUACUGGGCGUAAAGCGUGUGUAGGUGGCUUGCUAAGUCAGGUGUGAAAUCCCCAGGCUCAACCUGGGAACUGCAUUUGAUACUGGCAGGCUAGAGUGUGGUAGAGGAUGGUGGAAUUCCCGGUGUAGCGGUGAAAUGCGUAGAUAUCGGGAGGAACAUCAGUGGCGAAGGCGGCCAUCUGGACUAACACUGACACUGAGACACGAAAGCGUGGGGAGCAAACAGG